UACGUAGGGUCCGAGCGUUGUCCGGAAUUAUUGGGCGUAAAGAGCUCGUAGGCGGUUUGUCGCGUCCGCUGUGAAAGCCCGGGGCUUAACCCCGGGUCUGCAGUGGAUACGGGCAGGCUAGAGGUAGGUAGGGGAGAAUGGAAUUCCCGGUGUAGCGGUGAAAUGCGCAGAUAUCGGGAGGAACACCGGUGGCGAAGGCGGUUCUCUGGGCCUUACCUGACGUUGAGGAGCGAAAGCGUGGGGAGCGAACAGG
rnacentral:rRNA from 1 species